rnacentral:lncRNA from 1 species
CGCCUCCCGCUGCUCCGGAUCCUCCCCCUGCUCCUCCUCCUGCUCCUCCUCCUCUCCUUUUCCUCCUCUUCCACCGUCUCUCCUCUGCUUUCUUCUCGUCUUCUUCCUCCUUCUUUUCCUUUGUCCUUUCCCCUCUUCUCUUCCCUGCCCCUUUCCCCUUUUCUUUCCCCCUUCCCAUUUCUCCUUCCCCUCCCCUUUCUCCUUUCUCCAUUGCCCUUCCCUUUCUUCCUUUUCUUCCCCAUUUCCCUUCUUCCCUCUUCUCCUUUUCCUUAUCCUUUCCCAUUCCCUUUCCUCACUCUUCUCCUUUUCUUUAUCCCUUCCCAUUCUCCUUCCUUUCCUUCCUCCUUCCCCUUUCUUUCCCCUUUCACCUUCUUCCCCAUCUUCCUUUACGCGUUCCCCUUCUUCUUUACAUCCGUACUCCUUCUCCUUCCCCAUUCUAUUUCUCUUUCCCUUUUCCCCUUCUCCUUUCCCUUCUCCCUCCCUUCCUAUUUCCCCUUUCUCUCCAUCCCCAUCUCACCCCCACUUCAGUUUUCCCUGCUGAGGAAGCCGCCAGGCCAAGGAAAGAGCUUCCCCUCCCCAUCCUUAGCACAAACCCAAAAUCUUCACUUCUUACACAAUUUGGGCGUUGUUACCAGAGGUUCACAGUGGGAUUUUGGAUCAGGGGCUCCCUCAGGAGCCAUAUCCACACUGAACUUCCACCAGCAGCCCAAAAUCCCAACCUCAGCCUUCCCAGCACGCGGAUCCCAUCCCCAAACCAGCAGGUCCAGCUGUUCUGCAGAUUCCCAGAUCCUGUGGGAGCUCUGCCUGGCCACACAGUGGAAGUGGGGAACACAGGGAACGUCCUUGAGCUCCCUCUGCUUUAAGUUUCAAAGCGCUUGGAUAGACAGGAAUGGUUUUUGAGGAGGUUUCAGCUGCUGAGGAAGCCCAAACCCCUCCUCUGGAGCCAGAGGCACACCCUGAUGCUGUUUGCAGCUCACGCCAAGCGAGGCACAGCUCUCCGGGACAGCUCCGGACAGAGCAGAACAGGGAUGUCCUGCUUUGGAAAACUCCUCGCAGAGCAAAAUUUCCCCGUUUGCCGGUGUUUUCCUGAGAGUGUAAAGCUCAGAGCCGAGGACACGGGCGACCUGGUGACCCCCGGCUCCCCCAGGAUCACCAUAUCGAUGCCGGCCUUAGCUUGGACGCCCGCUCGGCACAGCCCCCUGCAGCCCAGAACCCCCGGGCUCAGCGAUCCGCCAGCCUCAGCCUCCCCGGAGCUUGGAUUACAGGCACAAGCCACCGUGCCCGGCUGCUCCUCGGGGCUGUCUCCGCUCCCCAUCACCCCGGCACCGGCCUCGGGAACUCCUCAGCGCUGCAGCAGCACGGUGGGAGGAGCAGCAGGCGCAGGAAGGAAAAUCGAGCUCUUCGACCACAAAGGUCCUUGAAGGAUCAGUGCAACAGAGCCUUUCCCAUCUCUGUCAAGAGGAAGCAAGGAAAGAUGAGCUGCACCACAUCCAAACAGGUUUGGCCUGAUGGUCCAAAGAGAUUGGAAUUUGAUUUCUGUUCAAAGAGAUAAAAAUUCUCUGAUUGAUGAGCAUCAGUUUCCUCAAGGUUUGGCUAAUUUGGUGCUUCAUGUUGCUGUGGCAGCACCUGGACCUCUGGUGGGGGGCAUGGAAACACGGCUGUAGAAAUCCAUGGAAAAUGAAAAAUUCAAACCUUGGUACCUGCACCGCCCAUAAGGGGAUUCUUUAUGGAUAAGGAAAGAUGAGGAAGGAUGAGGAGCAGCCAGACCCAGCUGAGUUACCACAAGGUCCCACAAAGGUAUUUGCUGCCCUUUUCCCAGGCUGUAACCCUUAAUCACUUUAUAACCAUAAUUUACUCUCCAGGCUGUAAAUCCCCAGCAGGUACAUGGGACACCCACCCACUGACACACGUCAGCCACUGCUCGCUUUUCAAACAUUUACCUCACUUUUAAAACAUUUAACUUACUUUUAAAACAUUAAACUCGCUUUUAAAAUAUUUAACUCGCUUUUAAAAUAUUUAACUCCUGCAGGCUACCCAGUAACUCACAGGGGAUUGCCAAGGACCUGAGGAGGGUUUUAAUUCUCAGGCAGGUGGGUGAAACUGAGCCACUCCUAAGAACUCACACUUUUCAGGUAAUUUAGAACAUAUUUGGGUAUUCUAAGUAUUUUUGGGGGGAGUAUUUUACCUUGAAAAUCAAUCAGCAGUGUAAGACUGAGCUAGAUGGAGUAGAUAGUGCCCAGAGGGAUUUAUAUCCAUCCUGAAAUGAAGAACCUGCUUUGCUCAGACCAUCACACUUCGUCUGUGCUGACACAUUUCCAUCCCAACGUCACUCUCUUAAAAAUAAGAACCUGUCUUUCCAAACAAAUCCCUGUUUUAAAGGCUGUGGCAGGUCCUGGCUCUCCCAGGUGAGCUGCAGUGGCUCUGCAGGGACACAGCAGUGGGAUCCCUCAGGCAGCAAAGCCCUUUUUUUUGGCUUUACUGAAGUUAUUUCCAUUUGCUUCCUGUUUACCCUCCUUCCUGUGCACUUACGGAAACCAACAGGACUCUCCACUAAAAUGUUCCAAAAGUAGGUGGUGCUCUCUCUCCAGCUUCUCCUCCAUUCCCUGUGGGAUUGGGGAACGUGAGCUGCAGGGAUUGACAUGCACAGAGUUUAUUAGUGACUAAUUUGAGAUCUUAACUACCCAAAGUGCUGAGUGCUCCAAUGUCUUGUUGCUAUCUAUCCUCCUAAAGAGCAGGAAUAAUUCCUUUAAAAGCACUGCCAGGCCAUGGCAAAUCUUCCCCUGGUGCACAGGCUGUGAGGCUGGGAAGUUUUCCUGAAGGGGAGGGAGGAUCCUUGGGAAUAAAUCCCAGCACAAGUGGAAAAGCA